rnacentral:rRNA from 1 species
GGUUCAGGACGAACGCUGGCGGCGUGCCUAACACAUGCAAGUCGAGCGAUGAAAUCCUUCGGGAUGGAUUAGCGGCGGACGGGUGAGUAACACGUGGGUAACCUGCCUUGUAGAGGGGGAUAGCCUUCCGAAAGGAAGAUUAAUACCGCAUAACAUCUUUUUUAUCGCAUGGUAGAAAGAUCAAAGGAGCAAUCCGCUACAAGAUGGACCCGCGGCGCAUUAGCUAGUUGGUGAGGUAACGGCUCACCAAGGCGACGAUGCGUAGCCGACCUGAGAGGGUGAUCGGCCACAUUGGAACUGAGACACGGUCCAGACUCCUACGGGAGGCAGCAGUGGGGAAUAUUGCGCAAUGGGGGGAAACCCUGACGCAGCAACGCCGCGUGAAUGAAGAAGGCCUUAGGGUUGUAAAGUUCUGUUUACGGGGACGAUAAUGACGGUACCCGUGGAGGAAGCCACGGCUAACUACGUGCCAGCCGCCGC